AGAGUUUGAUCCUGGCUCAGGAUGAACGCUAGCUACAGGCUUAACACAUGCAAGUCGAGGGGAAACGACAUCGAAAGCUUGCUUUUGAUGGGCGUCGACCGGCGCACGGGUGAGUAACGCGUAUCCAACCUGCCCACCACUUGGGGAUAACCUUGCGAAAGUAAGACUAAUACCCAAUGACGUCUCUAGAAGACAUCUGAAAGAGAUUAAAGAUUUAUCGGUGAUGGAUGGGGAUGCGUCUGAUUAGCUUGUUGGCGGGGUAACGGCCCACCAAGGCGACGAUCAGUAGGGGUUCUGAGAGGAAGGUCCCCCACAUUGGAACUGAGACACGGUCCAAACUCCUACGGGAGGCAGCAGUGAGGAAUAUUGGUCAAUGGACGAGAGUCUGAACCAGCCAAGUAGCGUGCAGGAUGACGGCCCUAUGGGUUGUAAACUGCUUUUAUAAGGGAAUAAAGUGAGUCUCGUGAGACUUUUUGCAUGUACCUUAUGAAUAAGGACCGGCUAAUUCCGUGCCAGCAGCCGCGGUAAUACGGAAGGUCCGGGCGUUAUCCGGAUUUAUUGGGUUUAAAGGGAGCGUAGGCCGGAGAUUAAGCGUGUUGUGAAAUGUAGACGCUCAACGUCUGCACUGCAGCGCGAACUGGUUUCCUUGAGUACGCACAAAGUGGGCGGAAUUCGUGGUGUAGCGGUGAAAUGCUUAGAUAUCACGAAGAACUCCGAUUGCGAAGGCAGCUCACUGGAGCGCAACUGACGCUGAAGCUCGAAAGUGCGGGUAUCGAACAGGAUUAGAUACCCUGGUAGUCCGCACGGUAAACGAUGGAUGCCCGCUGUUGGUCUGAAUAGGUCAGCGGCCAAGCGAAAGCAUUAAGCAUCCCACCUGGGGAGUACGCCGGCAACGGUGAAACUCAAAGGAAUUGACGGGGGCCCGCACAAGCGGAGGAACAUGUGGUUUAA
rnacentral:rRNA from 1 species